UUAUUUUAUUUUGAAUCAAUUAAGAAUAGGAUUAAUCAUACAUUUAAUUUUAGAGUAUUUAUAAUAAAUGACUAUAGAUUUGAAAAGAAUGUACAAACUAACCUUGAGUCACAGUAUCUUGUCGGAAACAUGUUGGAGAACACUUGUUAUUUUCUCUUAUUACAUAGUAUUUAUAAAAAGCACAUGCUAUUUUUUGGAAAAAACAUUGUAUUCAGUUUAAUAUAUCUUUUUAUCAUGAUAUUUUGUAGUAAUACACGUUUUUUAUUGAGAUCACACGUGAUUUCUUUAAAAAUAUUCUUAUUUUUUAGUAAUACAUGGUUUUUAUUAAAAUCACAUAUAAUUUUUGUUUUAAGAUUCUGUUCAUGUAAAAGAAUUUCAUAAUAAUGUUUUAAAAAA
rnacentral:sRNA from 1 species